rnacentral:misc_RNA from 1 species
UUGCAGCAUAUGGAUUUUGAUACAUUAAGGUCAAGAAUUGUAGAUCACUCCAUUGUAUCGGUUAAAGAAGUCUUCAGAGAUCUGCUGCUAAUUGCUAACAAUGCCCUUGUCUUUUAUUCCAAGACUACACGCGAAUACAAGUCUGCAUUACUUCUCAGACACAUUGUCACAAAAAAUUUGCGACAGCAUUUGAAGGAUUAUAUCACCAAGACUACUAUUACACUCCUCUCUACCACACCACCAAUACUUGAUCCUCCUGUGAAACCCCACAGUCCUCGGCCAGGUAAUCACAAACAGUUAGGAACGGUGUCCAAAUCUAGCAACACAAUUGCAAAGACUACAAAUGCAGCUAAAAAACCAAGUAAUGUACAUUCUCUUCCAUCAGCGGAGUUCAUAACUUGGACAAAGAAAGGAUCCGGCCGUCCAAGAAAAGCUGGGCCUGGAUGCACUACCCAUCAACCUGG